GUCGGAUUAGCCCGUCAGUUUGCCCGGUCUAAGGGGUCACGUUCAGGUCGUAAUGUUUUCGAACGCGUGGGUUCAAAUCCCACAGCUGACA
rnacentral:tRNA from 1 species